UCCUACGGGAGGCAGCAGUAGGGAAUCUUCCGCAAUGGACGAAAGUCUGACGGAGCAACGCCGCGUGAGUGAUGAAGGCUUUCGGGUCGUAAAACUCUGUUGUUAGGGAAGAAUAAGUGUUAGUUGAAUAAGCUGGCACCUUGACGGUACCUAACCAGAAAGCCACGGCUAACUACGUGCCAGCAGCCGCGGUAAUACGUAGGUGGCAAGCGUUAUCCGGAAUUAUUGGGCGUAAAGCGCGCGCAGGUGGUUUCUUAAGUCUGAUGUGAAAGCCCACGGCUCAACCGUGGAGGGUCAUUGGAAACUGGGAGACUUGAGUGCAGAAGAGGAAAGUGGAAUUCCAUGUGUAGCGGUGAAAUGCGUAGAGAUAUGGAGGAACACCAGUGGCGAAGGCGACUUUCUGGUCUGUAACUGACACUGAGGCGCGAAAGCGUGGGGAGCAAACAGGAUUAGAUACCCUGAUAGUCCACGCCGUAAACGAUGAGUGCUAAGUGUUAGAGGGUUUCCGCCCUUUAGUGCUGAAGUUAACGCAUUAAGCACUCCGCCUGGGGAGUACGGCCGCAAGGCUGAAACUCAAAGGAAUUGACGGA
rnacentral:rRNA from 1 species